UACGGAAGGCAGCAGUGGGGAAUAUUGCACAAUGGGCGCAAGCCUGAUGCAGCCAUGCCGCGUGUAUGAAGAAGGCCUUCGGGUUGUAAAGUACUUUCAGCGGGGAGGAAGGCGAUGUGGUUAAUAACCGCGUCGAUUGACGUUACCCGCAGAAGAAGCACCGGCUAACUCCGUGCCAGCAGCCGCGGUAAUACGGAGGGUGCAAGCGUUAAUCGGAAUUACUGGGCGUAAAGCGCACGCAGGCGGUCUGUUAAGUCAGAUGUGAAAUCCCCGGGCUUAACCUGGGAACUGCAUUUUGAACUGGCAGGCUUGAGUCUCGUAGAGGGGGUAGAAUUCCAGGUGUAGCGGUGAAAUGCGUAGAGAUCUGGAGGAAUACCGGUGGCGAAGGCGGCCCCUAGCGAAGACUGACGCUCAGGUGCGAAAGCGUGGGGAGCAAACGAGGAUUAGGAUACC
rnacentral:rRNA from 1 species